rnacentral:rRNA from 1 species
GACGUAGGGGGCCAGCGUUGUUCGGAAUUACUGGGUGUAAAGGGCUCGUAGGCGGUUUGUCGCGUCGGGAGUGAAAACUCAGGGCUUAACUCUGAGCUUGCUUCCGAUACGGGCAGACUAGAGGUAUGCAGGGGAGAACGGAAUUCCUGGUGUAGCGGUGAAAUGCGCAGAUAUCAGGAGGAACACCGGUGGCGAAGGCGGUUCUCUGGGCAUUACCUGACGCUGAGGAGCGAAAGUGUGGGGAGCGAACAGG